UUCGGCCAUAGUGGCGCACGGGUGAGUAACGCGUGGGAACCUGCCCAGCAGUGGGGAAUAACUUCGGGAAACCGGGGCUAAUACCGCAUACGCCCUUAGGGGGAAAGAUUUAUCGCUGUUGGAGGGGCCCGCGUCCGAUUAGUUUGUUGGUGGGGUAAUGGCCUACCAAGACUACGAUCGGUAGCUGGUCUGAGAGGAUGAUCAGCCACACUGGGACUGAGACACGGCCCAGACUCCUACGGGAGGCAGCAGUGGGGAAUAUUGGACAAUGGGCGCAAGCCUGAUCCAGCAAUGCCGCGUGAGUGAUGAAGGCCUUAGGGUUGUAAAGCUCUUUCGGCGGGGACGAUGAUGACGGUACCCGCAGAAGAAGCCCCGGCUAACUUCGUGCCAGCAGCCGCGGUAAUACGAAGGGGGCUAGCGUUGUUCGGAAUUACUGGGCGUAAAGAGCACGUAGGCGGUUCGUUAAA
rnacentral:rRNA from 1 species